CCCCGUGGCUCAGUUGGUAGAGCAUGGUGUUUGCAACGCCAGGGUUGUGGGUUCGAUUCCCACAGGGG
rnacentral:tRNA from 1 species